GACGAACGCUGGCGGCGUGCCUAAUACAUGCAAGUUGAGCGCUGAAGGUUGGUACUUGUACCAACUGGAUGAGCAGCGAACGGGUGAGUAACGCGUGGGGAAUCUGCCUUUGAGCGGGGGACAACAUUUGGAAACGAAUGCUAAUACCGCAUAAAAACUUUAAACACAAGUUUUAAGUUUGAAAGACGCAAUUGCAUCACUCAAAGAUGAUCCCGCGUUGUAUUAGCUAGUUGGUGAGGUAAAGGCUCACCAAGGCGAUGAUACAUAGCCGACCUGAGAGGGUGAUCGGCCACAUUGGGACUGAGACACGGCCCAAACUCCUACGGGAGGCAGCAGUAGGGAAUCUUCGGCAAUGGACGAAAGUCUGACCGAGCAACGCCGCGUGAGUGAAGAAGGUUUUCGGAUCGUAAAACUCUGUUGGUAGAGAAGAACGUUGGUGAGAGCGGAAAGCUCAUCAAGUGACGGUAACUACCCAGAAAGGGACGGCUAACUACGUG
rnacentral:rRNA from 1 species